rnacentral:rRNA from 1 species
UACGUAGGGCGCAAGCGUUGUCCGGAAUUAUUGGGCGUAAAGAGCUCGUAGGCGGUUUGUCGCGUCUGCCGUGAAAGUCCGGGGCUCAACUCCGGAUCUGCGGUGGGUACGGGCAGACUAGAGUGAUGUAGGGGAGACUGGAAUUCCUGGUGUAGCGGUGAAAUGCGCAGAUAUCAGGAGGAACACCGAUGGCGAAGGCAGGUCUCUGGGCAUUAACUGACGCUGAGGAGCGAAAGCGUGGGGAGCGAACAGG